CUGGCGGCGUGCUUAACACAUGCAAGUCGAACGAAGAGCGAUGGAAGCUUGCUUCUAUCAAUCUUAGUGGCGAACGGGUGAGUAACGCGUAAUCAACCUGCCCUUCAGAGGGGGACAACAGUUGGAAACGACUGCUAAUACCGCAUACGAUCUAAUCUCGGCAUCGAGGAUAGAUGAAAGGUGGCCUCUACAUGUAAGCUAUCACUGAAGGAGGGGAUUGCGUCUGAUUAGCUAGUUGGAGGGGUAACGGCCCACCAAGGCGAUGAUCAGUAGCCGGUCUGAGAGGAUGAACGGCCACAUUGGGACUGAGACACGGCCCAGACUCCUACGGGAGGCAGCAGUGGGGAAUCUUCCGCAAUGGACGAAAGUCUGACGGAGCAACGCCGCGUGAGUGAUGACGGCCUUCGGGUUGUAAAGCUCUGUUAAUCGGGACGAAAGGCCUUCUUGCGAAUAGUGAGAAGGAUUGACGGUACCGGAAUAGAAAGCCACGGCUAACUACGUGCCAGCAGCCGCGGU
rnacentral:rRNA from 1 species